rnacentral:rRNA from 1 species
AACGAACGCUGGCGGCAUGCCUAACACAUGCAAGUCGAACGAGAUCUUCGGGUCUAGUGGCGCACGGGUGCGUAACGCGUGGGAAUCUGCCCUUUGGUUCGGAAUAACAGUUGGAAACGACUGCUAAUACCGGAUGAUGACGAAAGUCCAAAGAUUUAUCGCCAGAGGAUGAGCCCGCGUAGGAUUAGCUAGUUGGUGUGGUAAAGGCGCACCAAGGCGACGAUCCUUAGCUGGUCUGAGAGGAUGAUCAGCCACACUGGGACUGAGACACGGCCCAGACUCCUACGGGAGGCAGCAGUGGGGAAUAUUGGACAAUGGGCGAAAGCCUGAUCCAACAAUGCCGCGUGAGUGAUGAAGGCCUUAGGGUUGUAAAGCUCUUUUACCCGGGAUGAUAACGACAGUACCGGGAGAAUAAGCUCCGGCUAACUCCGUGCCAGCCGCCGCGGUAA